rnacentral:rRNA from 1 species
AACGAACGCUGGCGGCAUGCCUAACACAUGCAAGUCGAACGAGACCUUCGGGUCUAGUGGCGCACGGGUGCGUCACGCGUGGGAACCUGCCCUUAGGUUCGGAAUAACUCUCCGAAUGGGGUGCUAAUACCGGAUAAUGUCUUCGGACCAAAGAUUUAUCGACUUUGGAUGGUCCCGCGUGGGAUUAGCUAGUUGGUAGGGUAAAAGACUACCAAGGCGACGAUCCAUAGCUGGUCUGAGAGGAUGAUCAGCCACACUGGGACGGAGACACGGCCCAGACUCCUACGGGAGGCAGCAGUGGGGAAUAUUGGACAGUCGGCUGAAGCAUGAUCCAGCAAGGCCGCGUGAGUGAUGAAAGCCUUAAGGUUGUAAAGCGCUUUUACCCGGGAUGAUAAUGACAGUACCGGGAGAAUAAGCUCCGGCUAACUCCGUG